rnacentral:rRNA from 1 species
GAUGAACGCUGGCGGCGUGCCUAAUACAUGCAAGUCGAGCGAACAGAUGAGGAGCUUGCUCCUCUGACGUUAGCGGCGGACGGGUGAGUAACACGUGGAUAACCUACCUAUAAGACUGGGAUAACUUCGGGAAACCGGAGCUAAUACCGGAUAAUAUAUUGAACCGCAUGGUUCAAUAGUGAAAGACGGUUUUGCUGUCACUUAUAGAUGGAUCCGCGCCGCAUUAGCUAGUUGGUAAGGUAACGGCUUACCAAGGCAACGAUGCGUAGCCGACCUGAGAGGGUGAUCGGCCACAAUGGAACUGAGACACGGUCCAGACUCCUACGGGAGGCAGCAGUAGGGAAUCUUCCGCAAUGGGCGAAAGCCUGACGGAGCAACGCCGCGUGAGUGAUGAAGGUCUUCGGAUCGUAAAACUCUGUUAUUAGGGAAGAACAAAUGUGUAAGUAACUAUGCACGUCUUGACGGUACCUAAUCAGAAAGCCACGGCUAACUACGU